CAAGAGCGUAUAUUAAAGUUGCUGCGGUUAAAAAGCUCGUAGUUGGAUUUCAGUCUAGGAAGGCUAACUCGCCGAAAGGUUGUACGUUGAUUUUCCUCAGACUUCGUCAGAAGCUCGUGCUGCACUUAACUGUGUGGUACGAUGUUCUGACCUUUUACCUUGAGGAAAGUAGAGUGUUUCAGGCAGGCUACCCAGCUUGAAUACAUUAGCAUGGAAUAAUGAAAUGGAUCUCGGUUCGAUUUCGUUGGUUCUAGAGCUGAGGUGAUGAUCAAUAGGAACAGGCGAAGGUAUUCGUACUUGAGAGUGAGGAGUGAAAUCCGAUGAUCUCUUAAAGACGAUCCGAGGCGAAAGCAUUUGUCAAGGAUGUUUUCAUUGA
rnacentral:rRNA from 1 species